GAUGAACGCUGGCGGCGUGCCUAAUACAUGCAAGUCGAGCGAACGGACGAGAAGCUUGCUUCUCUGAUGUUAGCGGCGGACGGGUGAGUAACACGUGGAUAACCUACCUAUAAGACUGGGAUAACUUCGGGAAACCGUAGCUAAUACCGGAUAAUAUUUUGAACCGCAUGGUUCAAAAGUGAAAGACGGUCUUGCUGUCACUUAUAGAUGGAUCCGCGCUGCAUUAGCUAGUUGGUAAGGUAACGGCUUACCAAGGCAACGAUGCAUAGCCGACCUGAGAGGGUGAUCGGCCACACUGGAACUGAAACACGGUCCAGACUCCUACGGGAGGCAGCAGUAGGGAAUCUUCCGCAAUGGGCGAAAGCCUGACGGAGCAACGCCGCGUGAGUGAUGAAGGUCUUCGGAUCGUAAAACCCUGUUAUUAGGGAAGAACAUAUGUGUAAGUAACUGUGCACAUCUUGACGGUACCUAAUCAGAAAGCCACGGCUAACUACGUG
rnacentral:rRNA from 1 species